CAAGGCUUGACAUCCUAAGAAUCCUAAAGAGAUUUGGGAGUGCCCUUCGGGGAACUUAGAGACAGGUGGUGCAUGGUUGUCGUCAGCUCGUGUCGUGAGAUGUUGGGUUAAGUCCCGCAACGAGCGCAACCCCUAUUGUUAGUUGCUACCAUUAAGUUGAGCACUCUAGCGAGACUGCCGAGGUUAACUCGGAGGAAGGUGGGGAUGACGUCAAAUCAUCAUGCCCUUUAUGCCUUGGGCAACACACGUGCUACAAUGGCCGGUACAAAAAGUCGCAAUCUCGCGAGGGGGAGCUAAUCUUUAAAACCGGUCCCAGUUCGGAUUGUAGGCUGCAACUCGCCUACAUGAAGCUGGAGUUGCUAGUAAUCGUGAAUCAGAAUGUCACGGUGAAUGCGUUCCC
rnacentral:rRNA from 1 species